rnacentral:sRNA from 1 species
GCCGGGUGCAGUGGCAUACACCUGUAAUCCCAGUGGCUCAGGAAGCUGAGGCAGGAGGAUCAUGAGUUCAAAGCCAGCCUCCGCAAUGGGGAGGUGCUUAGCAACUCAGUGAGACCCUGUCUCUA